rnacentral:rRNA from 1 species
UACGGGGGGGAGCAAGCGUUGUUCGGAUUUACUGGGCGUAAAGGCGCGUAGGCGGUCAGCACAAGUCAGUUGUGAAAUCUCCGAGCUUAACUCGGAAAGGUCAACUGAAACUGUGCGACUAGAGUGCGGAAGGGGCAACUGGAAUUCUUGGUGUAGCGGUGAAAUGCGUAGAUAUCAAGAGGAACACCUGCGGCGAAGGCGGGUUGCUGGGCCGACACUGACGCUGAUGCGCGAAAGCCAGGGGAGCGAACGGG